GAUGUCCAGGCCUUCCACAGUCUUAAGAAGGGGUGUUGGGGUCAGGGGUCAUCAGCUGUGGCUCUGACCCUCCAUCUCAGUCCAGACCUCAGCAUGGCUCUAGGUCACAGGCAGUGAUUCUGAAUAUGCAUUUCUUCCAGAAACUCCACUUGGAAAUGUUGGCAGACCAGCCACGAACAACUAAAUACCACAGUGUCAUCCUGCAGAAUAAAGAAUCCCUGACGGAUAAAGUCAUCCUGGACGUGGGCUGUGGGACUGGGAUCAUCAGUCUCUUCUGUGCACACUAUGCGCGGCCUAAAGCGGUGUACGCGGUGGAGGCCAGUGAGAUGGCACAGCACACGGGGCAGCUGGUCCUGCAGAAUGGCUUUGCCGACAUCAUCACCGUGUUCCAGCAGAAGGUGGAGGAUGUGGUGCUGCCUGAGAAGGUGGACGUGCUGGUGUCUGAGUGGAUGGGGACCUGCCUGCUGGUGAGGGCGGGUGUGCGGGCAGCUGGGGGCCGGAGCUGGGGGGCUUCUGAGCACAGGCUCGUCUGGGCCAACCUCAGGAUCUCAAGGGUCGUGCAUGAUUCAUUUUGAUGUUUUCCCUAAUGUGAGGUAUAAUUAAUUUCUUGUGUGGA
rnacentral:sRNA from 1 species